AAAGGGAGACCUAAUUCCGGUAGGAGACGAAAAAAAAGUAGUCCCUACCAAGAAUCAAUCCCAAAAGGUCGGAGCGAGGCAAAAUUGGCUUUCAAACUAGGUUCUGGGUUCACACAAGACCUGAAUCAGGAACAAGGGCUAUUAGCUCAGGUGGUUAGAGCGCACCCCUGAUAAGGGUGAGGUCCCUGGUUCGAGUCCAGGAUGGCCCACCUGUACAGGUGGCAAAAAGAAAGAAAAGAAGCGAGGAAUCAGCACCUUAUCUUACUUAUAUAGUAAGAGAGAAUGCUGGCUCUGAGUUCAGAGUCCAGAGGAACCUUGAAAACUGCAUAGAGCUAGGUGAAAAAGCCAAAAAAGAAGAUCGCAAG
rnacentral:tRNA from 1 species